CGAGCUCUGUAAGCGGGUGUGUGGCGUCACGGAGAGCCGGAGUUGCGUCCCGCAGCGUGCCUCGCGCUCUCAGACGCUCUCACGCCUCAGUGGGGCGGCCGCAGUUUGCAGCGCCUCCUCGGCGGAUCGUUGCAAACGUCCGUUCUCGCUGCUUCCCCAGCAGAGCACGUGCCCGGCCGCUGUGCUUCCCGCCCCCGACCCCCCGCAGGGCGGCUCGCUGAGCUUCCCGCGCAGCCCCACAGCGUUCCGCAUCCAAUCGCUGCUCGUCCUUUGCGCCUUGCAGCCUUUGUUUGCAGGGUCGCAGCCCGGAGCGGCUCCGCCAUUUCACGCGUGGCGCUCCGGGACGUGGCACGAAGCAGCGCUCGAGUCCGAUCCGAACAGAGCACUGCUAUGAUUUGAGGAUUUCAUCUGUGCCUUUGCUGCUUCCACACUGGAUCAAUACUGUUUACACAGAAGCAGCAUUAUAGAUGCAGCCUGUGGACCUACACGUAGAUGAAUGUUUC
rnacentral:lncRNA from 1 species